rnacentral:rRNA from 1 species
AGCGAACGCUGGCGGCAGGCCUAAUACAUGCAAGUCGAACGGCUCUUCGGAGCAGUGGCGGACGGGUGAGUAACGCGUGGGAACGUGCCCUUUGGUACGGAACAACUGAGGGAAACUUCAGCUAAUACCGUAUGUGCCCUUCGGGGGAAAGAUUUAUCGCCAUUGGAGCGGCCCGCGUUGGAUUAGCUAGUUGGUGGGGUAAUGGCCCACCAAGGCGACGAUCCAUAGCUGGUCUGAGAGGAUGAUCAGCCACACUGGGACUGAGACACGGCCCAGACUCCAACGGGAGGCAGCAGUAGGGAAUCUUGCGCAAUGGGCGAAAGCCUGACGCAGCCAUGCCGCGUGAAUGAUGAAGGUCUUAGGAUUGUAAAAUUCUUUCACCGGGGAAGAUAAUGACGGUACCCGGGGAAGAAGCCCCGGCUAACUUCGUGCCAGCCGCCGCAGUAACAC